UACGAAGGGUGCGAGCGUUAAUCGGAAUUACUGGGCGUAAAGCGCGCGUAGGUGGUUUGGUAAGCGAUAUGUGAAAGCCCCCGGGGCUUAACCUGGGGAACUGCAUGUCGAACUGUCAGGCUAGAGUAUGGUAGAGGGGUGUGGAAUUUCCUGUGUAGCGGUGAAAUGCGCAGAUAUCGGGAAGAACACCCGUGGCGAAGGCGGCACUCUGGGACGGUACUGA
rnacentral:rRNA from 1 species